rnacentral:rRNA from 1 species
GACCUGCGGAAGGAUCAUUAAUUAUGUUAAAGCGCCUUACCUUAGGGUUUCCUCUGGGGUAAGUGAUUGCUUCUACACUGUGAAAAUUUGGCUGAGAGACUCAGACUGGUCAUGGGUAGACCUAUCUGGGGUUUGAUCGAUGCCACUCCUGGUUUCAGGAGUACCCUUCAUAAUAAACCUAGAAAUUCAGUAUUAUAAAGUUUAAUAAAAAACAACUUUUAACAAUGGAUCUCUUGGUUCUCGCAUCGAUGAAGAACGUAGCAAAGUGCGAUAACUAGUGUGAAUUGCAUAUUCAGUGAAUCAUCGAGUCUUUGAACGCAGCUUGCACUCUAUGGUUUUUCUAUAGAGUACGCCUGCUUCAGUAUCAUCACAAACCCACACAUAACAUUUGUUUAUGUGGUGAUGGGUCGCAUCGCUGUUUUAUUACAGUGAGCACCUAAAAUGUGUGUGAUUUUCUGUCUGGCUUGCUAGGCAGGAAUAUUACGCUGGUCUCAGGAUCUUUUUUUUUGGUUCGCCCAGGAAGUAAAGUACAAGAGUAUAAUCCAGUAACUUUCAAACUAUGAUCUGAAGUCAGGUGGGAUUACCCGCUGAACUUAAGCAUAUCAAAAGCCGGAGGGAA